rnacentral:tRNA from 1 species
GGAGGAGUAGCGAAGUCUGGUUAAACGCGACGGUCUGUAAAACCGUUCCUCUUGGUUCGGUGGUUCGAAUCCACUCUCCUCCACUU